rfam:Camelus ferus unplaced genomic scaffold scaffold2021, whole genome shotgun sequence.
GAGGGUAUAGCUCAGGGUAGAGUGCAUGCUUAGCAUGUAUGAGGUCCUGGGUUCAAUCCCCAGUACCUCCA